rnacentral:tRNA from 1 species
GGGGGUAUAGCUCAGCGGUAGAGCGCCUGCUUAGCAUGCACGAGGUCCUGGGUUCCAUCUCCGGUACCUCCG